UCCCUGGUGGCUCAGAGGUUAAAGCAUCUGCCUGCAAUGUGGGAGACCCGGGUUUGAUCCCUGGGUUGGGAA
rnacentral:tRNA from 1 species